CCGAAAUGCAGUGUCCCUGGAAGGGACGCCCUCUCUGGGCCCGCUUGCAUUUUGUUGUUGUCGGAGCUCAUUUUGAAGCCAAAUGAAACGAGAAUCGUGUCAACGAGGAAGGUUUAGGGAGGGGGUGGAUGUGUAGGCAGGCUCCUGGCUUGCCCUUCCUCUCUCUUCUGCAGAGCUGGGCAUCAGAGCACACUGAGCAGCAGGGUGAAAUGCCCACAGAGUUUCUGAGGCCAAGUCCUGUCUGACAGGUAGGCGGUGGGCCCAUGACAAAUGACCUUGCCUUCCUAACUCCUUGAUUAACUUAUCCAUCCAUGAAUGUGCAAAGGCAGUCCCAACACCUCACUAGAACCCAUUCCUGGA
rnacentral:lncRNA from 1 species